CAAUGGGGCCUGAAUGCGAUGCUCUAACCUGCUAUGUUCCAUAUCACAGGCCCAUUGUUGGCUGGCCGUUUUAAACUACUUAGUGUUCUCCCCUCCACUGAUCCCAGUAGAUAAGAUAUAGUUCGACCCUAAUACAUAAAAAGGAUGUCAUUGGGGAUGGCUGCCAUAGAAGCCGAGCUCUUUCUGUCCCUGUUGUCUCCUUAUUCACAUCCCCCCAAGUCCCUACACACCCACAUAUUCACAAACCCAUCUCCUCUUCCGUUUCUUCUCCUAGCUAGAACGCAAUCUAAAAUAAUCUCACAGAUCCAAAGACUACAGGAAAAUAAUUUCAGUGCCCUUCCCCCCAAAAUUUUUACUCCAUGUAUUGUUUGGGGUUGGAUUUUCCCCCCUCCAAGUGCUUUCUGCCGCUGCCGGUUUAAGCAACCGUGAUCUGUGAAUAAACAAAGUCAGUAAACAACGAAAAAAAAAAUCUAGAUCCGAAUUCCAGGAGGGUAAACUUUGCAGCCACGUCACACGUCAGCAAAUUUGCACAGAUAUUAUAUUGCCUCCCCCCCUUUUUUAUUUUUUUUUCGGAGCCCAUUGUACUUAACUGAAUUUUAUAACGCUGAUCGAUAUCUUGGUAAAAUAUUCAUUUUUAAACUAGCGGGCAGUGAAAUCUUUGCUUUGUGUGCUAAAGUCAACAGUCGCACAGUUCGGGCUCCAAUAAAUGCGGCGAUGCUGCGGCUUGGAGCAGUCAGGGCGUCUCCCAACGCAAGACAGUCCUCGCCGGGCCGUGGGCUGAGGAGGGCCCCGCACCAGGAACCUACUGGUAAGGAGCAACCUAUUCACUAGUCGGAGAAUUGUGGCAGCAAAACAAGUGGUUAUAGAGGUGGAAGAAAGGUCCAAGAUCACAACUGAGUAAGCAACAAAGGUGGGAUUUUAAAGUCCAGUUUCCAUACUUCAGCCAAGAAGAAAUCUGAUGAAAAAUUAUAAUAAAUGAAUUCACCUACUCUACAACUGUAUUGGACAUCAGAUAGAAGACCGAAAGGCAAAACAAAAGAUAAACCCAGACUGGAGUGGUCUCUUAGCAUGACCAGAGACCAAUAGGAACAUCUCUAGAAUGCCAGACUCUGUGUCCAAAGGCAGCCAAAAGAGAAGGUUACCUUAAGAAAGAUCUCAGUGUGUUCCAUCUGGGGACCUUGGAAAUGCUGGAGAAUGAUACUAAUAUCUAGCAUGUUGUGCAAAGAUUGGGAUUAUCCAAGGCCAGUGAUUCUGAGGUCUCUAGCAUAGUGUUUUGAGACCAUAGAAAAGGGCCUGGUGGUCCAAUGUUCUAAACUUCAAAGUUUCAGAAUUUCCUACCUCAGGAUGGUAGAAGUCAGUAAAAGAUAUCAGCAUACCCAAGGUGGAACCAAGUAGAGCCAACUACCUCACCCAAAUGUAGUAGCAAGUGGGUAAAAUAAGGCCCUGACCUAAAACCCCAAUUUUACAACUAAAAUCAGAGAGAUGAGGAAAUUAAAGAAAACAGUGACCAGUGUCAAAAAUUAUUGGAAGUUGAAAGAUCCUCCAAAAGUAAAAAAAAAAAAAAGUCUCUAUAAAAACUGUAAGCAGAGACUUAAAGGAAAAAAAUGACUCUCCACAAAUGGCAUAUUAUGAAAUGAGGAAUUAAAAAAUGAAGUACAGUAAAAAAAUUUAAGGAAAUAAUUAGUUGGAGAAUAAAUAAAUUAGAAGGGAAUGUGAUAAAUCUUAUUCAAGUAAUGAAUUUCUUAAAAACUAGACCAAACAGAAAUCAGUAGCUCCAUGAAAUAAACGACAUGUUAGAACAAAAUUAAGGAUUAAAAAAUAUAAGAAAAUGUAAGAUAUGCGAUAUAAAAACUAAUCUGGAAAAUAGAUUGAGAAGGAAUUUAAGAAUUACUAAACACUGAAAAACCGUAAUUUAAAAAAAGAUGCUAUAUUUCAAGAAAUCAUAAAUUUAAACAAUCUAUAUCUUUUACAAUAAAAAGUAAAUGAUAAAGGCAAUAUACCAAUUACUUCCUGGAAGACCCUAUCCCCUCCUCACCCCAAAAGUCCUUUAGAGCUCCCACAUCAAAGAAAUGUCUGUAUUGAAAGAAGUUCAAGUACCAAGUGAUAGGAGUUCAGAAUCACAUAAAACCUGGCGACUUCUACCAAAAACAAGAGUUCUUAAAUACAAUAUUUUAAAAGGCUUACAACUAUGAAUAAAUACCUUGCCAAAUUGGGUUUAAUCCUAUGAGGGGAUUGAUCUUUAAUAGAAUAGAGCAUUUUUCAAGUAUUUUGUUUGAAAAGACCAGAAUUGAGUAGGAACUUUGAAAUCCAAAUAUAAGAAUAAAGAUAAAACUAGAAAAAACUGUGAUCUCCUCAGCAUGGGGUAUUACUGGCAAAGAAAACUCAUUCUACCAAUAAGAGUUAGCAUCUAUUAUGGAUUUAGAGCCUCAGAGUUGCUUGGAAACAUCGAGUGGUUAAAUGAUUUCCCUAGAGUCAUAGACAGUGUAUGUGGAGGACAGGACUUAAAUAGUGGUCUUCCCAAUUCCAAGUUCAUUUCUCUUUUGAGUGCUUGGCACAAUUCCUGGUACACAGAACUGAUUGAAUAAAAGAAAGAAAUGAAGAAAAGAAAAGGAAGGAAAGAAAAAAGGGUAAAUGAUUGUUAACAUGUUUUCUACCAGUUAAUCUACUGUGCAAAAUAGUCACAAAGAUCAAAGAAUGCAUAACUUGCAAUAAAAUGUAAUUUAAUAAUUAUAGGUAAAAGAACUUUGAAAAUAUACAUGGAAGGAAGAAACAAUAUUGACAAGGAGAAUACUGAAAUCUUUGGAGAAGUCAAAGCAAAUGGAAAGUUGGAUAAAACAAAUUUGAAUAAAAAGCAAUUUAAAAUA